rnacentral:rRNA from 1 species
UGCGUAGGCGGGUUAUCAAGCCAGGGGUGAAAGGCGUUGGCUCAACCAAUGUAAGCCUUUGGAACUGAUAAGCUUGAGUGCAGGAGAGGUAAGUGGAAUUCCUAGUGUAGAGGUGAAAUUCGUAGAUAUUAGGAGGAACACCAGUGGCGAAGGCGACUUACUGGACUGUAACUGACACUGAGGCACGAAAGCGUGGGUAGCGAACA